CCCUUCCAUCUCAGAGUUGGGGAUUGCUUUGCGAAGUUUGACAGCCCAUUUCAUGGCCCUCUGUGAUCCCUCUUCUGGGCAAGGGGGAUGUCACAGUCUCUCUCCAGAGUGGGAUGGGACUUCCAGGGUACCUCAGAUCUGAUGGCCUGAAUGGGAGGAUCAAGGUCUUGGAGCAAGACAAUCUCAAUGCUCUGUGGGCUUGGGACCUGCAUCUGGUCCCAAGCAUCUGGAAAUGUGCACUUACCUUUCUUCAUUACCCAGACUUGGAUGACCUUGUAGGAGUUCAAGGGAUAGGUCAAGGGGGUCAGAGGGCUAGAUCCUUCUGUCACUUCCUUUAAAUUAUUAACUAUUUAUUACAUCCGGAACCUGUGAGAUUCAGCUCUCCCAACCAGACCCUGGGAUGGGUGAGAGAAUAGGGGGAUGUCCCUCCCAUCCCCACUCUGCCCAGCUCUCAUCACUGUCAGACCCACCAGAGCUGAGGGCGGAGGGACCGGGGGCUGGGGCAGCCUGGGUCCCCAUCCCCCUCUCUGUGCCUCGGUCUCCUCCCUUCCGUGGUGGGCGGGGGGAAGCUCCAUUCUUAACCUACCUCGUUUUGGGGAGGGGUGGGACGGGGACCAGAGUGCUGUAAGGUGCUGUGGGAUCUGCGGAUGAAGCGGUGGGAGCCGGGGAAGGUUCCCCCGGCCCCCACCUCCCAGCACCGCCUCUCCCAGGUCUCCCGGUCCUGCUCCCUGCUGAUACCCACCUCUGAUCCAUGAUUCCUCUUCAUCACCCCCAAAUCAGGGGUGCGUGGAGGGCUGACCCUGGGAGCCAGGAAGACCUCAGACCCUGGAGCCCCCAGGCCCAAUUUCCCAGCUGCCUGCCCCUCAGAUUGGAUGCUUGGCCCCCAGAUUUGGGGGAGGCACCCCGACAUUUAUCUUCCUGAUCUCGAUUCCAAGCCAGUCUGUGACCUCAAUAUUGUUAUCAGUGCAGGCUGCAGUGGUGGGGGAGGAUGGGGGCCAAAGACCCAGCCUUGUCAUUGGGGAGGGGGCAUGAAAUAUUCGCUCCAAGAAACGUCUGUGACAAAGUCUCAGCCUGUGUCCUUUAUUUGCAUUGACACACCCCAUCCAUCACCUUCCUGAACACCAAGCCAGUCUCCUACCCAAUUCAUCCUUUCUCCACUUUCUUUAGUCCCAGGCAGGCCCUCCGGCUGAGUUGCACACAUUUCAGUCACUCAGGUACAUUUACUGUACACCCAUUAUAUGCCAGGCCCUGUCCUAGGCACUGAGGAUGAAGCAGUGAACAGAACAGACAAAACCCCUUUCCCACAAGAAACUUCUGAACUUUAUCGUGGAGGAGACAGUAAAUGACAUGUUCGAAAUGAU
rnacentral:lncRNA from 1 species